rnacentral:rRNA from 1 species
UACGUAGGGUGCGAGCGUUGUCCGGAAUUAUUGGGCGUAAAAGGGCUCGUAGGCGGUUCGUCGCGUCGGCUGUGAAAUCCCGAGGCUCAACCUCGGGUCUGCAGUCGAUACGGGCGGACUGGAGUUCGGCAGGGGAGACUGGAAUUCCUGGUGUAGCGGUGAAAUGCGCAGAUAUCAGGAGGAACACCGGUGGCGAAGGCGGGUCUCUGGGCCGAUACUGACGCUGGAGGAGCGAAAGCGUGGGGAGCGAACAGG